rnacentral:rRNA from 1 species
GAUGAACGCUGGCGGCGUGCCUAAUACAUGCAAGUCGAGCGAACAGACGAGGAGCUUGCUCCUCUGACGUUAGCGGCGGACGGGUGAGUAACACGUGGAUAACCUACCUAUAAGACUGGGAUAACUUCGGGAAACCGGAGCUAAUACCGGAUAAUAUAUUGAACCGCAUGGUUCAAUAGUGAAAGACGGUUUUGCUGUCACUUAUAGAUGGAUCCGCGCCGCAUUAGCUAGUUGGUAAGGUAACGACUUACCAAGGCAACGAUGCGUAGCCGACCUGAGAGGGGGAUCGGCCACACUGGAACUGGGACACGGUCCAGACUCCUACGGGAGGCAGCAGUAGGGAAUCUUCCGCAAUGGGCGAAAGCCUGACGGAGCAACGCCGCGUGAGUGAUGAAGGUCUUCGGAUCGUAAAACUCUGUUAUUAGGGAAGAACAAAUGUGUAAGUAACUAUGCACGUCUUGACGGUACCUAAUCAGAAAGCCACGGCUAACUACGUG